GUGUCAGCCGCCGCGGUAAUACGGAGGGUGCAAGCGUUAAUCGGAAUUACUGGGCGUAAAGCGCACGUAGGUGGUUUGCUAAAUCAGCUGUGAAAUCCCCGGGCUCAACCUGGGCACUGCAGUUGAAACUGGCAAGCUAGAGUAGGGUAGAGGGGUGUGGAAUUCCGGGUGUAGCGGUGAAAUGCGUAGAUAUCUGGAGGAACAUCAGUGGCGAAGGCGACACCCUGGACUCAUACUGACACUGAGGUACGAAAGCGUGGGGAGCAAACAGGAUUAGAUACCCCUGUAGUCC
rnacentral:rRNA from 1 species